UCUAUAUAAUAUAAAAAUCCCCCAAAAUUCCCAGUAAAAACCCUAUUUGGACUUUGAUUGAUUACGUGUAUAGAUCAAGUGGGGGCAUCGCCAGUACCUCCCCAACUAUAAAAAAAGGGUCUAUUGCUUCAGAUGUUUCUGAUCCGUCCUCUCUUUUUCUCUCUCUAUAACCUUUUAUUUUCUCUUCCCGUUCCAAAAUUCAUGCCCUACCAAGCAGAUCUCUCCCUUUUUGCCCUCGAUUGAUUAUGUUCACUCUUCUAUUCUCUCUACGAUUUUCCUACAGAUUUCGAUCUUAACUUUCCUGUAUUUUGAUCUCUGCUUUCUUUGUAGUUUUCAUUUUUUUUCCUUGAUAGAUGACUCGCUUCGCUUUGAGCUUUAUAUUAACGCUUUAAUGCUGGUUUCUCUUCAGUAAGUUUUCGCUUGAAUCAUUUGACAACAGUUUUUUUUCUCUUUUUUCUUUCGCUUUUUAAUUUGCUGGAAAAGUUUCAUCGAGAUCUGUUUGGUUGCCGAGAAUCCUUAAGAAAAUGAAGGGAAGCUGAACUGAUAACCUUAUUAUAUAUGCAUUUGCAAACUACUUCAGCUCCUGCCUUUUGUCGUUCUAUCGAGAGGGAGCCUUGUGUUUUUUUCCUGAUUUUUAGAGGAAGAACGGAGUUAGCAGAUGCCGUUUGGCUCUCAGGUCUGAAAUUUUUGAAGGUACCUUUUAGAUAUUAUUCUUUUUGCCGGUUUUGGUACAGUGUUAGCCCAAUUCACUUCUAAUUUUAGUUAAACUUUCAUUCUCAAUCAUUGCACCAUGAUGAUAUUUUGUCUAUGAUAGUUCACGUUUUAUGUCCUUUUGCUGGAUAAUUGUUAAAGUUCUGAUUGUUUCAUCAUGAGGUAAUCUGUGAUUUUCUCAAUUAAGGCCAACGCAGAAGAGCACAUAAAAUUUGCAUUAUUCAACAUUUUUCAAAAUCACGUACACUUUUAGUCAGUUACUUGAUCUUGGCACUUGUUUAUUCAGCUACUAUCUUAAUUACUAUGAUAUUGAAAUAAUCAGAGAUGAUACAAUAUACAGCUUCCGUUUUUCAAUUCGAGUAAAUGAUUAUGUAUUUAUGGCUUUCCUUUUGUUUCUAUAUAUUUGUAAUUCAAAAGUGAUGCACUGUCCUGAAGUUUCUUUUAUUUUAUUUUUUGUGCUUUAUGGUUGCUGAAUUUGAAGUGUCUGGUGAUGCAUUUUUUUUUGCCAGUUGUUUUCUGAGCUGGUGAAAGGAGUAUUAGAAAAGCACAUCAUAGUUUAAUUUUCUUUUUCUAGUUUGUGAUGCUUGAUAUAAUUUUCCGCUUGCAACUUGUGGAGCUUAAUAGUGAUCACUAUGUGGAUGAGAUAAAUUGAUAUGUGGGAUACGAUGUUGAGUAGCAAGCUAGCAAAAGGAAAUUAUAUUAUUGAAUGUGGGUCUCAAAAUAGCUGAAAUAUAUUUAUUAGUUGUUGUAAUGAGAAGAUGUGGAUAUCUGAAAAAGGUGUCAUUGCUUCCAUAUUCACAUGAAAUAUGGACCAUAAAGUUAUUUUUCGUAUUAUUUUGCGGUUUGUGAAACUAUUGUGUUUGAUUGUGCAUAAGUUAAGCAAUACAAUAACAUAUUUGUUUAUAGCUAAGUUUUGCACUAAGACAAGAAGUUUAUAUGUGAUCUACGGGAUAAAUUUACUUUAGGGCUGUUAUUCAUAGAUGUAUCAAAGAAUGUAAUCAUCACGUUUGAAUUCUUGAUUAUUCAUUUCAAGUAGGAGAGACCACUCGGCAGAACCAAAUCAAAAUUGAAAACUGAAAAACUGAUUUUAAUAAAAGCACCAACUGACAAUGAUCUGAACUAUCAUAGUAACUGAAUUGAAUCAAAAUUUUUUCUAUUCGGUUCAUUGGUUUAUGACCAUAGAGUACACAAAUCCAUUUUACAACUUUUUUGCAUCCACAUGAUUCAAAAUCAACAAAAGCCCCAAAUUACAAUAUCAACAAUAAAUGAUAAUCAAACCAAAAGACUGAAAAUUUCUAUACAAUUAUCAACUUCCCAAUUACAAUCGGCAACAAAUAACAAUCAACAAAUAAAAAAAACCUGUCCAGACAAUCAAUGAAGUUCAAAUCUGUGAUUAGAAAGAACAUGCUAAGAGGGAAAGGUUGACACCACAGCCCCAACCAUUGAUUGCCGCCUUCUAGCCAAGAAGUACACUCCUCACCAGAUCAUGAGCCAAUAGCCAAAAAGUCUAGACCAUUGUUUGCCACCUUCUAGCCCUCCUUGCCAAAUCGCGAAGCAAAGCAGCGUCCAUUCAUUGAUGGAUCAUGCAAAAUGUUAAUCGCAGUAGAAGAGGUGUCCAUCAUGUGAAUGUAACGACGCCCUCUAGCACCCUUUAUAUUUGUCAUGGGUUUGAUAUGGUUAUGCAAUGACGAACAAGAAGAGGAGGAGGAGGAUGUGGUGGUGGUGGAGAAGAUUGCAGUUCUUCGUGUAGAUGGGAGUUAAGAAACUGGUAUGAGAAGAAGAAAAGGAGAGGGAGAUUGAGUCUUUAGAUGAAAUAUGGAACUUUAGGUUGUGAGAAGACGAAAGGAAUUAGGAAAACGAUGUAGUAUAUACCAAAUAUCGGUUCGGUUUUUGAUAAGAAAAAUCAAAAUGAACCGAAUAACUGAAAAUAAUUAAAACAUUACCGAAUCACAUUGAUUAAUAUGAAAAACUGAACAGAUUGAAUUCAACUAGUUGGGUUUACUUUUUUGGUUUUAACUGAAUAUAUUGCUCAACCUAAUUUCAAGACUUCACAUGUGCAGUUACUUAUACAAUACUUAUUAUGGGGCAUUUUAGCGUUAAGACAAAAACCAAAUUUCUCUUUUUGUUACCCUUGCCCAUUCAUAUAAUCAUUUAGCUAAAGAAGAGAUUAAUACCUUUCCCUAUUGACUUUUGAUUAAUAAACUCUACUAGCGUUAUGUUUAGAUGAAUUGAUCGCACAUAAUCAACUAGAUUUGUUAAAUUUUUUCAUGGUUUAAACAUGGUUAUACUUGUGCCACUUGGAUUUCUCCCAUUUUCCAUAGUUUGCUUGAGGUGGAAUGUGGCACUGUGACAUAUAUUUAUUAUCUAUAAGCGUAAGUUCUAUAACUAAUUACAAAAAUUGGUGAUAGCUAGAUCUGGCUACAAAAGAUUGGGCCUAGAGACAGAGGAGUCAAAUUUGAGAUUAGAAUUUAUCAAUGGUUCCUACACCUAAAUUCAACUACAAUUGCCUUGGGAGGGCUAGUCUUGAUCUUUCUUCCUUGAAGUGGUGGUUGAUAUUGGUUCAAACUACUAUGUUAACUAGAAUUUGAACCAAGACUAGAACUAUAAGUGGAAUUGCAUAAGUCGUGCUUGAGUUGGCGCCAUGUAGUUCGGUUUAGGGCCCUCUGAGCCACAACAUAAAACUGCCAAUUUUUAACCAAAAUUAGACCAUGGUUGAGUCUAGUGGUAGCCCAAGUGCGAUUUGAUUUUGAAUACGUAAUUGUUAGGAUUGUAAGCAAGUCUCUAGGCUAUUGGAAUGGAGGCUAUUUAACUUAACAUAGAUGUUAUCAAGGUUUAAAUUUGUGCUUUAGUUGCUUGCUAAAGAUUUUAAUUUGAUCUAAUGACGGGUUAUGAAUUUCCUAAUUUUGUUGGGCAUAGACUGUUACCAAAUCUUUGCAAGUCUACACACGUCACACAUGGCUCAAGACCAAACAACCAUGCAUUGAAAUCCUAAACUAAUUACCAUGUGGAAUUUGACUCAUUCAAUUACUUUGAUUAUUUUAUGCAUUUCGUUAUUUCUUUUGAGUUGUGCUUCCUGUUUUGUAGAAGGGAGUUUCUCUACUUUCUUUUAGUUGUUUCUAGUUGUAGGAGGGUGUUUCUCCACUAAAAAAGUAAUGCUCUCUUUGAGGUAGGAGGUAGUUAUGCCUCACUCCUAUAUUUAAAGAAUAAUAUCAAUGAGAGAAGCAGCUUUCAAAAUCAAUUAAGUCUUUGAACACUUUAGUCUCAAGAGGUUCCAGGUUUCCUCGGUUUCCUCUCUAGCGCCUGAAUUAAUAGCCAUCAUAGAUCGCAAAAAAAAAAAAAUCCCAAUCUACCCACUCAAACACCAUCCAUACGCUUACCCAAAGGGCCCAUAACUAGAUUCUUAACCCGGGACGAUAACAUAAACUCUUCUUGAAAUUAAAAAGUCUAGAGAACUAAAGAAAGACAACACAAAUCUCUAAUAUAAAUUUUUUGAAAGAUUGCCCGAAUGUGUAUGAGUUGAAUUUCAUUUUUGUUAGUGGGAAAUUUUGCCCAUCAACGUUUUAUGGCAAAUGCAAGUCAUUUAACAAAGUUAAAAGUUUUUGAUAAUUUAUUGAACAUUAUAUCCUUAUUUGUCCAACUCUAAUUUUGUUAGGAUGAUAACCCAAGUAGUAUGAAGUUCAAAAAAUUUUAAAUUGAUCAUUUAAACUCUCAUUCAAGCAAUAGUGAAUGAUUUGUUUUGGCCAUACCUUCGGAAGUUUAUAUUGGUAUUCUUUGACCACAUAUUGGUAUACAGUUGGGAUUGGGAUGCUCAUUUAGACAUUUGAAGACAGUGCUGAAAUUACUCCACCACAAUCAAUUUAAAGUGAAUCAUAAGAAAUGUUCAUUUAGUAGAAUUUUAGUUGAAUAUUAAGACUAUGUCAUUUCUAGAGAGGGAGUAGAAAUGGAUCUAGAAAAAGUUUCAGAUAUCCUAAGAUGGCCGGCACCAAAGUCAAUUAAAGCAGUCAGGGCUUCUUGGGCAUAACUGGGUAUUAUAGAAGCUUCAUUGAGAAAUUUGGCCAAAUAGCCAGGCCUCUUACAGAGUUACUAAAGAAGGAAGCUUAGCUUAAGUUUCAGUGGACAGAGAGUGCACAAAAGGCUUUUGAAACAUUGAAGUAAGCAAUUAUUUCAUCACUAGUGCUGGUCAUGCCUAAUUUUUCUUAGUCUUUCGUGAUAAAAUGUGAUGCAUCGGGAUGUGGAGUAAGGGCUGUUUUAAUCCAAAAUUGCCAUCCAGUGGCCUAUUUUAGGGAGGCCAUUUCACAUAAAUCUACCGUCCAUUUUGCUUAUGAGAGGGAAUUAAUGGCUUUGGUUUUGGCAAUACAACAUUGGCGACCUUAUUUAAUCGGAAAGAAGUUUAUAGUGAGGACGGAUCACUGAAGUCUCAGAUAUCUAGAUAUCUGCUGUUACAACAAUACUGGCUCUCAAAGUUAAUGGGUUAUAAUUUUGUCAUUGACUAUAAAGCCGGUAUAACAAAUAAAGCAGCAGAUGCUCUUUCUCAGAAAGAAUGGGGAUGCAGAAGUGUGGACAAUAUCCAUUCUAACAUGGGCUGAUGAAACUUUAAGGAGGAUUAUUCAAGAAAUUAAGCAAAGAACAACUGCACUUGAUAAUUACUCUCAUACAAGACAUACUCUAUUACAAAGGGAUUUUUGGCAAUCCCAGCAAAUUCAAGCUGGAUUCCAAAAUUGAUAUCGGAAUUUCAUACUACUCCUCAAGGUGGUCAUUUUGGCGCUUAUCGUACGUAUCGGCGGAUAGCAUCUAAUCUCUAUUGGAAGGGAAUGAUAUCUACUAUCCAAAAAUUUGUUGCAACAUGCUAUGUUUGUCAAACCCACAAGUAUGAAGCGCAAUCCUCGGCCGGUCUUUUACAACCACUCCUUAUUCCUUCUGCCAUUUGGGAAGUCAUAUCAAUUGAUUUGAUCACGGGAUUACCACCUUCAAGCUGUAUGGACCGCAUAUUAGUAACUCUGGAUCAUUUAUCUAAAUUCGUACAUUUUAUUUCCUUAAGGCAUCCAUUCACAGCUAAACAUGUGGCUGAGGUUUUCUCUAGAGAGGUAGUACGAUUAUAUGGGAUACCUCGGAUGAUAGUGAAUGAUCGAGAUCCGGUAUUCGUCAGUAACUUCUGGAUAUAGCUCUUUCAUCUACAGGGUACUCAAUUGUAAUUCAGCUCGUUGUAUCAUCCACAAAUCAACGGGCAUAUAGAAGUUUUGAAUUGAUGCCUAAAAUUGUAUAUUUGUUAUUUUGCAUCAAAACAGCCCAAAGGGUGUAUAAAGUGGCUAAGUUGGGCUGAAUAUUGGUACAAUACUUGCUUUUAAGGAUCAAUUGGUAAGACAUAGUUUGAACUAGCGUAUGGUAGGGAACCAUCUGUACUACUAAAAUUUUUACUAGGAGAAACCAGAACAGAAGUGAUGUCUCAACAAUUGUAGAAUCGAGAUGAGGUACUACGACAAUCUAAAUUUAAUCUUAAUAAAGCACAAUAGUUGAUGGUUAAAUAUGCCAAUAAGAAGAGAAGGGAUUUGGAAUUUGUUGUAGGGGAUUAUGUGUUUUUAAAGUUGAGACCACACAGACAGUCAUCUGUUGCAAACCGGAUUUGCCCAACACUGUCCGUGAAGUAUUUCAGUCCUUUCCAAGUCACUAGCAGAGUUGGAGUAGUAGCCUAUAAACUGAAGUUACCGGUCUCUUCGGGAGUUGAUCCUAUAUUCCACAUCUCUCAACUCAAGAAGGCGAUCGGGAAUCAUCCAAUUGUUAUUGAGUUACCUGCACAUUUGGAUGACCAGAGGAACCUAUGAUUGAACCCUAGAAAAUAUGCCAGCAAUGCAAGUUUUAUCGAGAUAAUCAAUUGAUACCUCAAAUUCUGGUAUAAUGGAAGGGAAAGUCAGAAGAAUAGGCAUUUGGAUUGAUUAGGUUAAUUUUCAGGGACAAUUUCCUUAUUUUAGCCUUGAGGACAAUGCUAAUCUUCAAUGAGAAGGCAAUGAUAGAGAAGAGGUAGCCCAAAAAAUAAAUGAGAAAGUUCAAUUAGUAAAGAAAGAUAAAUCUAGGCAUUUUAAGGUUUGUUCCAGAAUGUCUAAGGGUUAGGAGGAUAAGAGGAGAAUAUUCUAUUUUGGUGAUGUGGAAAUUACUCUUGCGGGAUUCAUGGAGAUUGAGGAUACUUGUCAAGGAGAUUUUACUCCUUAUUUAAGAAGAGGGGAAUGUGUAGGAGAGGCAACUUACUUCUACCGACAAAAUUAGUUAAGGGCAGAAUAUUUCUGCAUGGGAGUUGAUACUCUCUUGGGGCCUGUGACAACCAUUUCUUUUGCAUUGUCCUUCAGCCAUUUCUUUGCAUUGUCCUUUCUUUUUUAUAAUGCAAUAUUUCUUCUUUGUGUUCUGUUUCUUUGCAAGGAGAUAUAAAUACAAACCUCUAGACCUACUUCAUCUUGAUUUCUUUAUUAAUCUUCUUUCUUUUGUGUGGGAUUUGUGUUCCUUAACUCUAUCAGAUCCUCACUUUGUCAACCACCUUCCUCACAUCAUCUAAUUGUCCACAUGAAUAAACCCUUGGAUUAGUUUAGCACAGAUGCAAGUGUAUGACUUUAAGGUUUUAUCUCUUAGUAUUUGCCAAGAGGUCUUUAAAAGUGAUGGCAGCUAUUUGGUUGUGAUAUUAACAUAUGCAUUUAGAGAUGAGAUUUUCAAAAAAGUACAAGAGGCUUUCAUAAAGUAUGGAUUUCAGAUGCUAAUUACCCAAAACAUACAUGCCUCAUAUCCAAACUCUUUCUCUGGGAAAUUUUGAAUUGAUUCCAACUAAGAGUCUUAACUUGAUUAAGGCACUAUUGUAGUAUAUUGAAGACCCAUUCGUGCCUGAGACUCGAAGAGUUCUUGUUCUCAUAGUGCACCCAUUAAUGCAUAAAAGAAUUUCAAGUCAUAUUUUGUCAAUUAUUGUACUUUUCAAAGAUAGACAAAUAGAUAGGUUAGGAUUAAAUAUAUUUUUAAAAGUGAAGUUCUCUGUGUUCUUUAUUUAUUUGUUCACCAUUUUUGUUUCAAUUUUGACCUAUGUAUAAUAGAUUGGGACAUGGAGCUGGUUUCAGUUUAAUAAGCUUGUUUGGUUCAAUCCUGAAAACAUUGCUUAAAUGUGAUAAAUGAAUAAAUAUGAAUUGAGUGAAACAAUCACAUUCAUCUUCCUAACAUGGCCAUAAUUAAUCGAGUUCAAAGAUAAAUAAUUAAUCAAACACAGGUAGGUAGAUAGAUAGAUAGAUAAAAAUGUGUAUGAUUGAAUAUAAUUUUAAAAGUAAGUUGUGUGUUUUUUUUCUUCUUCUUCACCAUUUUUGUUUCACUUUGACCUAUUUAAAAUAGAUGAGAUAUGGAGUUGGUUUUUAGUUUAAUAGGCUUUGUUUGGUUCAGUCUUGAAAACAUUGUUUAAAAGUCAUAAAUGAAUGUAUAUAAUUUGAUCAAACCAAUCAUAUUCAUCUCUGACAUGGCUGCAAUUAAUCAAGUUAAAAGAUAAAUUAAUCACUUUCAUCUUCCUGACAUUUGUCACAGUUAAUCUAUUACUCUAUUACUUGGGAAUUAUGAGGGCGAUCUGAUUCUUCUUUCUAGGAAGUCUUAUGUUGAUGAAGUUUCUCCGUAAUUUUCAUGCACAAGUACUCAGGGGAGUUCCAAACCUACAAGUUUGUAAUAAUUACAUUUAACUAUAAAGGUACAGUGGUGUAUAAUAAAUCAGAGUAAAAAAUAAAUUGGCUAUUGUGUAAUGAUCACAAAAUCCUUGCUAUGUUAAAGGAAAAGCUACUAGAAGAAUGAGAUUUGUCUACCUAUGAUGCAUGGCAGUGGAUGUUUGGUGAUGCCUAAGAUCAUGUCUACAAGAUGUUGAUUUAUGGAAGUACAACAAUUUGGUGAGAAACUAUACAUUCAUAUGAAAUUGGAAGUGGCGUCCAUUAUGCUAAACUAGGGGACCAGUUAAGAUGGUUUGGCUUUAUUGGUGUACAUUAAUUGAUGCAUAUUCAUGGAAGAUUAUAACAUCCAAUUUAUAGGACUGAACAUAGUAAGAGCUAGGCUAACAAUGACAUAGGAUGAACUGGCCCAGAAAAGCUUGACAUCUCUUGACCAUUUCUUAAAAUGUACGUUCUAGAAGUGUUGGAGUGGAGGAAGAAGUUUAUAUAGGCAACUUUAACUAGAUUGAGAGUGAGGAUGAGUCGAGUACUUGGGCUGUUGAUGGGAAGUGUGGGCUGUGGAUAUAGGAAAAAGCCUAGUGAACAAUGCUAAUACAACAGUUGCAUGCAAGUGCAGCAAUGAUUAUGAAAAAUUUACAAUAAGAAUGCUGUAAUUACUGAAAAGAGCUGGAAGAAAGUAUGAUGCCAGUGAAAGAAAAAAUUGCUUGGAGCAAUGAUAGAUUAAAAAAGAAAACUAGUUCCAAUUUGCACCUGAAGCCGUGAUUACUAUAAGAUCUUUGCAUGAAAGUCUGGCAUCUUUUUCUCAUACCCCAAACUUUCAUUAACAUUUUAACAUUAAGCCAUUCAUUCUUGACAACCUUCCAGAAUUCUUAGAGGAAAGCUAUUCAGAAACUGUCAGGUGCCUGCUCCUGAAAAAUUGAUAAGGCCUUCUGUAUGCCUAAAACUUGCUGCUCACCCCUUCCUCCUGAGAAAGGAAGGCCUUUCUAGCCACAAAGGACACCCAGGCAGUGUAUGCUUUGGAUUAUUAACAUGCUAUCGUUCUUCCCUGUAUUUGCUUUGACUUACCAAUUUUUGUUUUUUGAUUUCUUGUCAAGUAUGUUAUUUCUGCUUAUUUCUUGUUGAAUGGAUGUACAUAUGAAAUCGAUACAGCUAGUCUUUCUUCCUUAUAGUUCUACCCUUCAAGUGUAAGCUCGAUCUCAAUGGUCUUGUGUUUUAUUUCCAUUAUUGAGUGCUUAUGCAUCUUCAAAAUAACUGCUUUUAAGCCGAGGUUAAUGUAGUUGAUGUUGCAUCAACUAGUGUUGGAGACUAUCAAUGCUAAAGAUGAAUAUACUAGUGAACUUCAUUAAUUAAAAAUAAUAGUAAUAAUAAGCAAUGCACAUUAAUAUUUGAAAGAAACUUGAAAAAACAAUGAUUGAAUAGCACUUGCAUCGUUCCUCUUACCUGCAAAUAUUGCAAUAUGGAAAAAGGCUCAAUUGCAUUCUUGUAAAGUACUAAACAAUUAAUACUCAGCUUCAUACUAUAUUGCUAUCCUAUCUGAAAUACUAUUUGUCCAGUAAUUCCUAAUGCCAAAUUUGGUACUGUUAUAGUCUUGAUUGUUUGAAAAGAAAUAUCUGUUCCGCGGACUUUUUUUGGUAAUGUUUAGGAGAAGGCAUGUUUCAUAUACUGAUCUUGAAUAGUAGAUGCUUGUAUUGAAAAUUUAGAUGCUCCUUUCUCUGCACUCGUUGCUGUCUAUUAAUUUUACUGCAUGAAGUUGCCGUUUGAUUCCCAAUAUUCUUAACAAAGGAACUUCUUGAAGCUGCACAUGCGAAGAUUUAUUUGGCAAUGUUUCUUUGAAUGAGGUGAUCUCUGUCAUAGCAUAUGCACAAGUAAGCCAAUGGUUUGCCAGUCAUUGGGAUCAGUAACACUCUAGUUUUUGACAUAAGUAGUGCCAAGUCCCAGAAGUUAUCAGAGAAAGAAGUGCUCAACAUCAAGAUAUGAUAAAACAUCUGGUGGGGAUAAUCAAAAUGCUUAUUAUGCAGAUGAAGUUGUACCACAAUUUUGUAGAUCUAGCUGGUGUUUCAUAGUUCUGUUGCUGUGGUUGGCUUAGCCGAAGAUGGACAGGCACAUUUGGUUCCUCUGCAAUGCCCAGCCCUUCGGUUCUGAG